rnacentral:rRNA from 1 species
UACGUAGGGGGCUAGCGUUGUCCGGAAUCAUUGGGCGUAAAGCGCGUGUAGGCGGUCCGGUAAGUCCGCUGUGAAAGUCGGGGGCUCAACCCUCGAAUGCCGGUGGAUACUGUCGGGCUAGAGUACGGAAGAGGCGAGUGGAAUUCCUGGUGUAGCGGUGAAAUGCGCAGAUAUCAGGAGGAACACCAAUUGCGAAGGCAGCUCGCUGGGACGUUACUGACGCAGAGACGCGAAAGCGUGGGGAGCAAACAGG